rnacentral:rRNA from 1 species
AUUGAACGCUGGCGGCAGGCUUAACACAUGCAAGUCGAACGAGUGGCGGACGGGUGAGUAAUAUCUGGGAAACUGCCCGAUGGAGGGGGAUAACUACUGGAAACAGUAGCUAAUACCGCAUACCAUCGGAUCUGCCCAUAUCGGAUUAGCUAGUAGGUGGGGUAAUGGCUCACCUAGGCGACGAUCCCUAGCUGGUCUGAAAGGAUGACCAGCAACAGUGGAGCUGAGACACGGUCCAGACUCAUGCGGUAGGCAGCAGUGGGGAAUAUUGCACAAUGGGCGCAAGCCUGAUGCAGCCAUGCCGCGUGUGUGAAGAAGGCCUUCGGGUUGUAAAGCACUUUUGGCGAGGAGGCGUUAUUUGCAGAAGAAGCACCGGCUAACUCCGUGCCAGCAGCCGCGGUAAUUC